AUAUUUUGAAUUAAGUAUAUUCAUAAUAUGUUAUCAGACAAAUGUUGUUAAAGAUAUAGGUUGAUAUUUGUGAAGGGAAAGAGUUGCCUCUCUCCCAACAAACAUUGCACACAAGGUGGAUAUGGAUUUUUAAAGAGUGCCAUAAAACACUCAUUGUGAAUGAUCCUUCUGCAGGUUCACCUAUGGAAA
rnacentral:misc_RNA from 1 species